UACGUAGGCAGCAAGCGUUGUUCGGAGUUACUGGGCGUAAAGAGUGCGUAGGCGGUUCCGUAAGUUUGGUGUGAAAUCUCCCGGCUCAACUGGGAGGGUGCGCCGAAGACUGCGGUGCUUGAGUGUGGGAAAGGUAGGCGGAAUUCCUGGUGUAGCGGUGAAAUGCGUAGAUAUCAGGAGGAACACCGGUGGUGUAGACGGCUUACUAGACCAUGACUGACGCUGAGGCACGAAAGCGUGGGUAGCAAACAGG
rnacentral:rRNA from 1 species